AUGAUUUGGACGGAAUUGGAGACCGUGUCCAAUGUAAUCGAGUUGGAGUCUGUGUUCUUCUCCAACACAAAAGCAUGUAGUGCCCGACCCGGAUUGGACCGGGCUGCCAUAAAAGAAGGAAGGAUCCUCGACCGAAACGUCCAUCAGGCCGCGUCCCUCGACCAAAAUCUCCAUCAAAUCCCAUCGCAUUGCAACUUUCAGAGGAACGUCCAAUGUCGCCGGCGGAGGAAAAUCAUCCGUCGAGCCGUACUAUGCCGAGUUCGCCGGGGGAAGAAGAACACCCGUCGAGUCGCCCAUCGCCUAAGGUGGCUACACCAUAGGUGCCAGAGGCGUCCGAUCGAACUCAGGUGGAGCCCAAAGAGGUUCGGCUGUCAGAUAUGUCAGCAAUCACUCUCGAUGACACUGACAUGCAGAUUAAAUCUUGUGAUCUUGGAGCUCAUUUCGCUGACCUGGAGAAGCAGCAGAUCCAACUCAACCUCGAUCUAG
rnacentral:rRNA from 1 species